UUUAGCACAUUUUUCACUUACCAGUGUAACUUCAAUCCAAACCGACAACGUUGAGGUUCUAUGCGAAAUGCGAUGCAAAGUUCAUAUUUACUUUUAUUUAAUAACAGAUAAAAAUCUACGAGAAAAUAAAAGAAAUGUUCAGGAUAUGAAAAUGAAAAAACUUCCAUCUAUAUCCGUUUUACCAUUUUUUGUGGAAUAGAUUAUUUCUUUCACGUGACAGAGAAUACUACAAAUCGACUUUAGGCAUACUUACUUCGAAUGUACUACUUGGACUCUCUAUAUUAUUUCAAAAAGAGAAAGUUGUAUACAUGAACAUAUGUGGAUAUAAAGUGUUUAUUUUCAUACACCCGGAAUCUGCAAAGGAAGUUCUAAAAAGCAACAGUUUUAUCAAUAAGGAUGCUACUUACGAUUUCUUUAUUCCAGUGUUUGGAAAAAAUACUAUUUUCUACAGUCCUGAUGAUAAUUGGAGAAGAAGGAGAAGAUAUUUAGCUUCAUAUUUUCACCUUUGGAAUCUUAAAAAUCGUCAAAAUGUGCUCAUGGAGCAUUCAAAUUUUUUAGUCGAAAAAUUAAAAAAUCUGCAG